GUGAGGGCACCGCCGCCGCGCUUUGCCCCCCGCAGCGGGGCGAUGGGUAUCCGCUACCGCUCGAAGGGCGCUGGUACCUGAGGAGGAGGAGGAGGAGGGUAAGCACGGCGCGAGCUCUUCGGGCUUCACGCCCGUUUCGCAGAUGCGGUGCGGCGCUCCGCCGCUUCUCCCACUCUUCCAAACAGCGCGAGGCGCAGCCUGGGAGCUGCGGCAGCUUCACUGCCCGCGCCCAAGAUGGCCGGCGGAAGCGGUCUGAGGGCACUCUGCCCUCACUCUAUCGCCGGGAAGGCGGGGCGCGGCGCUGGGUCCUCCACGCUGCUUGUGCUGCCUGAGGGAGCGGCCGUAGAAGGGCGGAGUUUCGCUCCUCAGUAUCUCCAUGCGGUCGCCGGAGCACAGCGAAGCCUUUCACCGAACCCACCCCGCCCCUUGUGGGUCCUCCAUCCGUGUUUUGUCUCAACAUGGCCCGUCCCUGCCCUAUGAUCCCCCUCAGCAGCCCGCGCUCCCCCUGAGGCCUACCUGCCUCAGCCCCACACGGGGACGUGGCGGCCUGUGGGCCUUCUCUGGGCACAGAGCGGCUCCAGAGAGGAAACCGCUGCUGGGAAGUGGUGGAAGCGCUGCCGCAGCCCUGCAUCUGGGGGAGAGCGGGGAGAUGGAGCGGCCACACUUGGAUUCCAUUGCUCCGGUACUGGGCUGAGCGUGGUGGGGUGUGUGGGAGCACAGGGAGGUGACCUCAGAAAUAUUUCUGUGUAAGUCGUCAGCUGUGGGAAUGAGCUCAGCUCGCAGCCUCGCCAGGGUGAUGUGUGAGCCCCGUCAUCCUGGGCUGCCCAGAGAUCUCUGCUGGGAUUGAGGAACUGCCCAUGUCCCAGAGGCUGAGAGCCCUCCUGGGCCAACCUCUGGUCUCCAGUGCAGCUCUGCAAUCCAGGUGCUGUCCCUACAAGGACACAAGAACUUCCUGGUGUCCUGCAGCAAAGCUGGUAGCCCCAAACCCGUAUCCUGCAGCCCCAAGCCUUGUGCAAUUCCAUCUCCUGUGCUCUUUGCCUGCUCCUUGUGUCCCCAGCGUGGUUCAUCCCCAGCUGAAAGCUUCCCAUUGCAGCACCAGCGCCCGUCCCCCUGCCAAGCCCUGCAACCCGGCCAGCCCCCGGUGCAGCGCAGCACUGCUAUUUCUGGCUCCACCUUGAGACACGUGCAGUGAUGCUAAAAGAGACCAACGCAGGCUGAGCGGGCAUCGGGAGCAGCUGGGACACAAAUGGCUGCAGCUCGCCCUGCACACAGCUCCCACUGCACACAGCUCUCACGGGCUCUGUGCAGGCAGUCAGAGCUCCACAUCAUGGUUUACGCCGGAUGGGGGAGCAGUGGUGGGGGCAGUGGGGAUCUGGCUCUGCUCUGCAUUUUUUCCCCAAGGGAAAACCAUCUCGCUGGCUGCACGGCAGCAGGAAGAGCCUGGGGACAGCACAGAGCAGAGAUGGGUUUAAUUGCUGUGUAUAAUCCUCAGAUUCUUGCACAGCUCGGGGCAAAUCUUGUCUGCUUCUCCUGCCUCAGUUUCCCCAGGCAGAGCAUCCCGCAGCCCUCCGGCAGGGAGCAGAGGGUGCCUGAGCUGCUGUCUGCAUGGCAGGGGGAUACCCCAUGAGAAGUGUGUGGUGAUGGGGACCAACCCCUGCAGGGCCACCUCCGGGUGGGUCGAGAUGAACCCAAUGCCCACGGAUUCCCAAGCACUGAGAUCCUCCCGUGCAAGGGAGCGCGUUGAGGUUCCUGUCAUUAAGAUAACCCCAAUCCGCACUGAGCUGUGAUGGAAGCAAUCCCGUUUCGGUACCAAGCCCUGUGUCUGGGGGCAGACAGGUGGUGUCUGUGCGGGAUGGGAUGGGAUCGGCCAUGGGGGGAGAAGUGCUGCUUCCCCAUGGUACGUAGGCAGGACAGGGGUUGGCACAUGGAACCCCAUUCCCCCACAGCACAGCGGGGUGCUGACUCCUACCAAAGCAUUUUCGGGACUCAGCACAACAAGGGCAGAGCACAACAAGGGCAGAGCCCAACGCGGCCCCACGGCACCUGCCAGCAGCCGUUCUCAUUUCCUCCCUCCACGUCCCGUGCUGAGCGGAAAUACAACGUGUGUUAGUCACCAGGAAGGCCGGCAGCGUGCGGCUGCUUCCUGCACCGGCACCGGGCGGGGGGUGAGCUCUGACCCACAGCACAGCCACGCCGUGCAGCGCCCCCCUCCCCACCUCCCCCAGCACCGCACGGCGCUCGGGAUCCACCCCCGCUCUGCCUUAUCCCCUUGGAUAGUGCAGAGCACCGAGCGCUGCUGUGGGGCUCCUCUGUUUUUAGGUAUCCCCAUAAAGCAAAACCCAUCCAGCUCUGCCGUGUGCACGUCUGGGUGUUCGUCCCCCACCCUCCCUGAAUCUGUAGGGUGGGUUUCAAUGGGCACGGGGGUGAGAAGGCUGCUGGAAGUGGGAAGAGUAUUGUCCCCUUGUGCUGGGAGUUAUGGGGUCCCUGCUGGGUUUGGCUCCGUGCUCGGGGUUAUCGGGUCUGGGCUUUGG
rnacentral:lncRNA from 1 species